rnacentral:snoRNA from 1 species
UCUGGCUGUGAAGACACACUUGCCCUCACUGAGAUCUGUGACUGAUUCUCCAAUUACUGAGCCAUG